ACGCAUCUUGGCGUCCGCGCGUCGAGCAUCCUCGCCGGCGAGCGCGUCGUGGCCACGCGCCGGCCAUCCGCGGCGUCGCCCGUCCUCAUCCUUAUCUCUGAGUCGGCGCCCCAGAUAUUUUCCUUCUCUUCCUCUCCCUGCUUUCUUCUUCCUCCUCAUGCUUCCAUUAACGAGCUCAAGCUCGAGCUCGCCCCGUCGCCAAUACUCCUCCCACAAGCCACCAAAGUUCAAUCCCUUGCACAGGCAGCAGCCCCACGAGCUCCUCCUUCGAUGCCCCCACCCGGCCGGUCGAGCCCCUCGCCGGAGUGACUUCCCCAGCGACCCAGACCUGUAUGUGAACAGUGCAUCCGCCCCCUCACCAUAGAACUCCAUCGCCCGGCCACCGUUUCCUUCGUCUAGCAGUUCAAAUCGAAGCUAGAAUCGUAACCGAGGACGUCGUCUAUGAGUUGGUCGUGAAGUCCAGAACCAGCAAUACAGGACCAGGAAAAAGUUCGUGAAGAUCCCGCCCAAGGCCGCAAGUAAUACUAACCUCGCCCAGCAAAAGGCAAGCCCCGGUGCACAUCCUAUUAUUUCAAAUUUAUGACACAUAUAUAUGUUUCUAUUACUUGUGCAUUAGGUUUAGGAAUUGUUUGGAAUUCUAGUUGCAUGAUCCCUAGGUUCCCUGGAGUUAUACUAGUAUGUAUAGGAUGAUAGAAACGCUAUGCUUAAUAAGAUCUCGGUAGAAGUCGAGUGAUUUCUGGUCACUCGCGAGAUAUAGGAUAUCUCGUUAUUUUGAGUAUAUGGAUUAUUGGAAUAGGUUGGAGAA